rnacentral:snRNA from 1 species
AAUUCCGGAACCGGGACGUGGCG